GGCACAAACAAGGUGCCGUGAAUAUUUGCUGGUUGCAUGAAUGAGGACAGCAGUCCCACCCUGUCCCGGGAGUGCCUAGAAUUCCACUGUUUGUGGCCAACCCAGAAUACAUAACCUGGGGGCCGGAGAGCCAGCUGGGACCCAGAGGCCCGGGUUCCUCAGAACGGUUUCUCUCCAAAACGUGGGCAUCCCACCUGGCUGACGGAUUACAAGGGCCAGAAGCUAGCUGAACAGAUGUUUCAGGGAAUUAUUCUUUUUUCUGCAAUAGUUGGAUUUAUCUACGGGUACGUGGCUGAACAGUUCGGGUGGACUGUCUAUAUAGUUAUGGCCGGAUUUGCUUUUUCAUGUUUGCUGACACUUCCUCCAUGGCCCAUCUAUCGCCGGCAUCCUCUCAAGUGGUUACCUGUUCAAGAAUCAAGCACAGACGACAAGAAACCAGGGGAAAGAAAAAUUAAGAGGCAUGCUAAAAAUAAUUGAGGUUUUCAUGAUUCAGCACCUGCUUUUGUUUCUGUGAGAUGAGCUAAAUUGCUUUCAUACCCCAGAUAAGAGCUAAAACCACCUAAUGCUCUUAUGGCACAGCUGUGUAUAGAUUUAGUUCUCUUUAUACUUCAUUUCUAGCCCAGUUGGGUUUUGAUUUAUAUAAGUAGUUUAGACCUUCUCUUCAUAAUCUUGCUCUGAGAUGGGGAACAGAACACACAAGUAUGAAGUUUCUUUCAGGUGUAAAUAAUGAAAAAUAAAUGCCUCAUAAAUGAUAGUACAAUGUAACUAUCAAAGUUUUAUAAUUCAUUAUGAGUUAACCAUUUUAAUGUUUCCAAUUAAACC
rnacentral:lncRNA from 10 species